rnacentral:rRNA from 1 species
UACAGAGGUCUCAAGCGUUGUUCGGAUUCAUUGGGCGUAAAGGGUGUGUAGGUGGCGCCGUAAGUCCGUUGUGAAAGUCAAAGGCUCAACCUUUGAACGCCGAUGGAUACUGCCGGGCUAGAGUCCGGAAGAGGCGAGUGGAAUUCCUGGUGUAGCGGUGGAAUGCGCAGAUAUCAGGAGGAACACCAAUAGCGAAGGCAGCUCGCUGGGACGGUACUGACGCUGAGGCGCGAAAGCGUGGGGAGCGAACAGG